rnacentral:lncRNA from 1 species
AUGACCUGUUUCCUCAUUCCCACGUUCAAUCCAUACUUACAGUGCGUCCAGGAAACACCGGUGUUUCUUAGCGGCUCCACCUCAUCCCUUGCUCUCACUGCCCUGCCUGUCUCAGAACCCAAUUGUAAGAAGGAUGCCAGCACUGAACGAGAGAUGCGCUGCCCGCCCCAACUGCCAUGUGAUGGGGGGGUGAGUCCUGGCUACUGCAGCCAGCCAGCACCUGGCCGCCCAUGCAAGGGCUGGGGCCACCCACCAUGCAGAAACACACCCCAGAGAGUGACACCCUGAUUCCAGGUACAGCUUCCAGAACUUCAAUCUUUAAUUCAAAAUAAACUUCACUGCAUAAAAUACAAACUUGGGGAAGAGCAAAACAGACCCCAUACCACUCCACACUCAUUCUCUCGGGCCGCCCUGGCAAGCGCUGAGGCCUAGCACUGGCUGAGGUGCCCAGGCCACCUUUGCUGGCUAGAGGAGCCUGAGCUGUAGAGAGCAAGGCAGCCCAGCAGCUGUCAACCUCCAACAGGGCGAUAAGCGCCCUGACCCUGUCCCUCCAUGUUCGACUGCUAGCAGCCUGUAAGCCACAUCCCCAUGCUCUCAUUUAUAUCCCACACCUGAGCAGGAGGAUUAAACCCAGGUCCUCUCUCCUUUGGCGCCCGUGGGAGGUUCAAACCUUGCCAGGCCCUGCCCUUAGCAGGAACUCACAUGGCUGCUCUGAUCGCGAGAGCCCUGAGCUGGGCCCCUGUCCUUGCUGUCUAGCCACUCCUGACCUGCUGGAGAGCCCUGCCGUGUCCUCCCCAGAGACCCUAAUGAUAUAAGGACUCAGCCUCCCCAUCCACGGUGUGGGUGGCUUAGUCUUCGCACCCCAACAUAAGCUGGGGUGGCUCCGCCUGCCCUGUGGGGACCAUGAUGACAGUGGUCUAGGUGGCCUAGAUGCUGACCCCCCCCCCCUGCCCCACACCAGCCUGCUGUCUGGCUUUGGCUCCAGCCAUGUGGCUCUGUCGAAUCCGGUAGAGCCUCGCUUAUCGAGUCAGCAGUAUCUACAACUCACUGGCAUUUAGGGACAGGAUUACGGGAUUGGCCCUCCCUAAAGUGGCCCUGGGUUGUGUCUCAGCCUGGACCUGUGUGUUCAGAACAAAGCUGCAUGUGACGCUAGGCUUAAGGGAACGACGCUGACUGCAUCUCACCCAGAUGGUGGCUCCAUCUACGGGGGCUCAGGAGACAGACGAUGCUCUGUGCGAGACAUGGGUCCAGUGGAUGGUCACUCCUGAAAGAGCAGUUUCUAGGGAGAAAAAAACACAGGAGCCCACUC